CACAACAAAUAAUUGCUGUCCAAGUGGGGAGCUGAUGAAGUUGUGGGAGAAGGGGUGAUUUUGAAAUAGCUGGGAAGUUCCUCAGAUGUCUCAAAACUAAGUACUAGGUCAACCCUACUCUACUGUGGGGCCAUGAUAUCAUCCUUUACAGUGUCCCCAAUGCCAGGGAAAAUCUCAGAAGCUAUGGCUGAUAUGCAAGACCCCAGGGCCUGGGUAUUUUAAGUCAAACAUGGAAGACCCUCACUGGGACUAGAGGCAUCUUCCCUUUCCAACCUCUUACCUCAUGAACAAGAGAAUUGCGGCUGGGGAGAUGAUUUGCUUUGACAAUACAGAGGAAAAGCUUCAUCAUCGCUCUUGCCCAAGCAUUGAGUGCCCAACCCUUUAUGACUACCAAAGCUGCAUCUCUUCAUCAUGUGUACCCUGGAAAGGAGGUGGGAGAAAGGAAGAUGAUGAGGUCACCAUGUCAAGAACAUGCAAUAAAUAGAAGGUAUUGAAUGCUGAACCUAGCAGGCACUGGAGUAAGCUCUCGUGGUGAAGCAGUGAACAAAGCAAAGAUCCUUACCACGUGCUUUACAUGGGAGUGA